UAGCGUAGGGGGCAAGGCGUUGUCCGGGAAUUAUUGGGCGUAAAGCGCGUGUAGGCGGUCCGGUAAGUCGGCUGUGAAAGUCCAGGGCUCAACCCUGGGGAUGCCGGUCGAUACUGCCGGACUAGAGUUCGGAAGGGGCGAGUGGAAUUCCCGGUCGUAGCGGUGAAAUGCGGCAGAAUAUCGGGAGGAACACCAAUGGGCG
rnacentral:rRNA from 1 species